rnacentral:rRNA from 1 species
UACGAAGGGGGCUAGCGUUGCUCGGAAUCACUGGGCGUAAAGGGUGCGUAGGCGGGUCUUUAAGUCAGGGGGGAAAUCCUGGAGCUCAACUCCAGAACUGCCUUUGAUACUGAAGAUCUUGAGUUCGGGAGAGGUGAGUGGAACUGCGAGUGUAGAGGUGAAAUUCGUAGAUAUUCGCAAGAACACCAGUGGCGAAGGCGGCUUACUGGUCCGGUUCUGACGCUGAGGCGCGAAAGCGUGGGGAGCAAACAGG